GGGAAACUUACCAAGGCCAAACAGAGGUGGGAUUGACAGAUUGAGAGCUCUUUCUUGAUUCUUUGGGUGGUGGUGCAUGGCCGUUCUUAGUUGGUGGAGUGAUUUGUCUGGCUUAAUUUGACUCAACGCUGGAAAUCUCACCAGGCCCGGCUACUGGAAGGAUUGACAGAUUGAUAUUGAUAUUGAGCAAUAA
rnacentral:rRNA from 1 species